ensembl:misc_RNA 7SK 7SK RNA
GGAUGUAAGGCCCAUCUAUCUGUGACAUCUGUCACCGUACUGAUGCUCAGGGUCAGUUGUGCUGAUCUGGCUGCCUAGGCUGUGUCCCCUUCUCCCCUCCCUCUCCCUGUGCAUCCCUCCUGAAGCUGGUGCUCUGUCAAAGAGGAGGAGCUUGCACUACAGAGGGGGACCUGCCCCCAGUCCAGGGUAUGAGAGUAGCUGUGCUCUGAACCUCCCAACAAGCUCUCAAGGUCCAUCUGUAGGAGAACAUAGGGUAGUCGAGCUUCCAAGAUCCCAGACACACCCAAAUAAGACGCUGUAUGUGGCAGUCUUUCUGCCUUU